AAAUUGAAGAGUUUGAUCAUGGCUCAGAUUGAACGCUGGCGGCAGGCCUAACACAUGCAAGUCGAGCGGAAACGAGUUAUCWGAACCUUCGGGGGACGAUAACGGCGUCGAGCGGCGGACGGGUGAGUAAUGCCUAGGAAAUUGCCCUGAUGUGGGGGAUAACCAUUGGAAACGAUGGCUAAUACCGCAUGAUGCCUACGGGCCAAAGAGGGGGACCUUCGGGCCUCUCGCGUCAGGAUAUGCCUAGGUGGGAUUAGCUAGUUGGUGAGGUAAGGGCUCACCAAGGCGACGAUCCCUAGCUGGUCUGAGAGGAUGAUCAGCCACACUGGA
rnacentral:rRNA from 1 species